rnacentral:rRNA from 1 species
GAUGAACGCUGGUGGCAGGCCUAACACAUGCAAGUCGAGCGAGCGGCGGACGGGUGAGUAAUGUAUGGGGACUGCCCGAUAGAGGGGGACAACUACUGGAAACGGUGGCUAAUACCGCAUACUAUCGGAUAACCCAUAUGGAAUUAGUUAGUAGGUGGGGUAAAGGCUCACCUAGGCGCCGUUCUCUAGCUGGUCUGAGAGGAUGAUCGUCCACACUGGAACUGAGACACGGCCAAGACUCCUACGGGGGCAGCAGUGGGGACUAUUGCACAAUGGGCACAAGCCUGAUGCGGCCAUGCCGGGUGUAUGAAGAAGGCCUUAGGGUUGUAAAGUACUUUCAGCGGGGAGGCGUUACCCACAGAAGAAGCACCGGCUAACUCCGUGCCAGCCGCCGCGGUAAUAC